UACGAAGGGGGCUAGCGUUGUUCGGAAUUACUGGGCGUAAAGCGCGCGCAGGCGGUCCUUCAAGUCAGAGGUGAAAGCCCAGAGCUCAACUCUGGAACGGCCUUUGAGACUAGAGGACUUGGGUACGGGAGAGGUGAGUGGAAUUCCGAGUGUAGAGGUGAAAUUCGUAGAUAUUCGGAAGAACACCAGUGGCGAAAGCGGCUCACUGGCCCGUUACCGACGCUCAGGCGCGACAGCGUGGGGAGCAAACAGG
rnacentral:rRNA from 1 species